GGCAUAACUCCGGGAAACUGGAGAUAAUUCCGGAUAACGCACAUAUGCUGGAAUGCUUUAUGCGUAAAAUGGAUUCGUCUGCCCAAGGAUGGGUCUGCGGCCUAUCAGGUAGUAGUGGGUGUAAUGUACCUACUAGCCUACGACGGGUACGGGUUGUGAGAGCAAGAGCCCGGAGAUGGAUUCUGAGACACGAAUCCAGGCCCUACGGGGCGCAGCAGGCGCGAAAACUUUACAAUGCGGGAAACCGUGAUAAGGGGACACCGAGUGCCANCAUCAUAUGCUGGCUGUCCAGGUGUGUAAAAUACACCUGUUAGCAAGGGCCGGGCAAGACCGGUGCCAGCCGCCGCGGUAACACCGGCGGCCCGAGUGGUGAUCGUGAUUAUUGGGUCUAAAGGGUCCGUAGCCGGUUUGGUCAGUCCUCCGGGAAAUCUGAUAGCUCAACUAUUAGGCUUUCGGAGGAUACUGCCAGACUUGGAACCGGGAGAGGUAAGAGGUACUACAGGGGUAGGAGUGAAAUCUUGUAAUCCCUGUGGGACCACCUGUGGCGAAGGCGUCUUACCAGAACGGGUUCGACGGUGAGGGACGAAAGCUGGGGGCACGAACCGGAUUAGAUACCCGGGUAGUCCCAGCCGUAAACGAUGCUCGCUAGGUGUCAGGCAUGGCGCGACCGUGUCUGGUGCCGCAGGGAAGCCGUGAAGCGAGCCACCUGGGAAGUACGGCCGCAAGGCUGAAA
rnacentral:rRNA from 1 species